rnacentral:rRNA from 1 species
GAUGAACGCUGGCGGCGUGCCUAAUACAUGCAAGUCGAGCGGACGGACGAGAAGCUUGCUUCUCUGCUGUUAGCGGCGGACGGGUGAGUAACACGUGGAUAACCUACCUAUAAGACUGGGAUAACUUCGGGAAACCGUAGCUAAUACUGGAUAAUAUUUUGAACCGCAUGGUUCAACAGUGAUAGACGGUCUUGCUGUCACUAAUAGAUGGUUCCGCGCUGCAUUAGCUAGUUGGUAAGGUAACGGCUUACCAAGGCAACGAUGCAUAGCUGACCUGAGAGGUUGAUCGGCCACACUGGAACUGAGACACGGUCCAGACUCCUACGGGAGGCAGCAGUGGGGAAUAUUGCGCAAUGGGCGAAAGCCUGACGCAGCCACGCCGCGUGAGUGAUGAAGGUCUUCGGAUCGUAAAACUCUGUUAUUAGGGAAGAACAGAAGUAGAAGAAACUGUGCACAUCUUGACGGUACCUAAACAAAAAGCCACGGCUAACUACGUG